GCCCGCCUAGCUCAAUCGGAUAGAGCGUCAGACUCUUACACGGUCUGAAAUGGCCAGGCGACAUCUGAAGGCUGCGAGUUCGACCCUCGCGGUGGGCU